GCCAGGCGUGGUGGCGUGCACCUGUAAUCCCAGCUACUCAGGAGGCUGAGGCAGGAGAAUCGUUUGAUCCCGGGAGGUGGAGGUUGCAGUGAGCCGAGACCAUGCCACUGCACUCCAGCCUGGGAGACAGAGCGAGACUCUGUCUCAA
rnacentral:SRP_RNA from 1 species